rnacentral:rRNA from 1 species
AAUGAACGCUGGCGGCAUGCCUUACACAUGCCAGUCGAACGGCAGCAUGACCUAGCUUGCUAGGUUGAUGGCGAGUGGCGAACGGGUGGGUAAUGCAUCGGAACGUGCCUUUUAGUGGGGGAUAACGUAGCGAAAGUUACGCUAAUACCGCAUAUUCUCUGAGGAGGAAAGCAGGGGACCUUCGGGCCUUGCGCUAGAAGAGCGGCCGAUGUCGGAUUAGCUAGUUGGUGUGGUAAAGGCUCACCAAGGCAACGAUCCGUAGCGGGUCUGAGAGGAUGAUCCGCCACACUGGGACUGAGACACGGCCCAGACUCCUACGGGAGGCAGCAGUGGGGAAUUUUGGACAAUGGGCGCAAGCCUGAUCCAGCCAUGCCGCGUGAGUGAAGAAGGCCUUCGGGUUGUAAAGCUCUUUCGGCUGGGAAGAAAUCGCACCCUCUAAUACAGGGUGUGGAUGACGGUACCAGCAUAAGAAGCACCGGCUAACUACGUG